GACGAACGCUGGCGGCGUGCCCAACACAUGCAAGUCGAACGGGGAGUUAGUAAUAACUCCUAGUGGCGAACGGGUGAGUAACGCGUAGAUAACCUGCCUCUAAACUGGGGACAACACCGCGAAAGUGGUGCUAAUACCGAAUGUGGUAUCUUGGUCGCAUGACUGAGAUAAGAAAGAUGGCCUCUGAAUAUGCUAUCGAUUAGAGAUGGGUCUGCGUCUGAUUAGCUAGUUGGUGAGGUAACGGCUCACCAAGGCGACGAUCAGUAGCCGGUCUGAGAGGAUGAACGGCCACACUGGGACUGAGACACGGCCCAGACUCCUACGGGAGGCAGCAGUGGGGAAUCUUCCGCAAUGGACGAAAGUCUGACGGAGCAACGCCGCGUGAGUGAAGAAGGUCUUCGGAUUGUAAAGCUCUGUCGUUUGGGACGAACGUAUUCUAUGUGAAUAAUGUAGAGUAAUGACGGUACCAAAGGAGGAAGCCACGGCUAACUACGUGCCAGCAGCCGCAGUAAAAC
rnacentral:rRNA from 1 species